GCACAUGCAUGUCGAGCGGAUGUAAGGGGGCUUGCUCCUGGAUUCAGCGGCGGACGGGUGAGUAAUGCCUAGGAAUCUGCCUGGUAGUGGGGGAUAACGUCCGGAAACGGGCGCUAAUACCGCAUACGUCCUGAGGGAGAAAGUGGGGGAUCUUCGGACCUCACGCUAUCAGAUGAGCCUAGGUCGGAUUAGCUAGUUGGUGGGGUAAAGGCCUACCAAGGCGACGAUCCGUAACUGGUCUGAGAGGAUGAUCAGUCACACUGGAACUGAGACACGGUCCAGACUCCUACGGGAGGCAGCAGUGGGGAAUAU
rnacentral:rRNA from 1 species